rnacentral:misc_RNA from 1 species
GUCAACUCUUAAAACAGAAAACAAUUUAUUAAUUUGAAAUUUAAUGAUCACAAAUGUAUGACCAUAAACUAAAAAAGAGAAAAACUUAUCACAUGCAAAAAUAUAAAUACCUUAUUUUUAAAUUUUGUAACAAAUAUUAAGAUUAUUUACUUCUCAAUUUUAUUAAAAAUGAAAAAAAAAUUACAGGGGCCAAUCAGUGAUAAUUCGUGUGUGUUUGUGUAAAUCUUUGAGCAUGGGCACACCCCCUAGACCCAUUAGAUAUAACUGAAACAAAUUAAAUAACCUUUAAAUCAAAUUGAUAAAUUUAGAAGUAUAAGAUACAAAUGAAAUAGGGCACAAAAUUCAAGAUUUUCAUAUCACUACCCCUAGUUUUAGGGAUUCAAAGCGGUCACAGUUGGCUAGAAUUUUCAACAACCCCAAGUAGGGCUGAGCAAAAAUCCAUUUUAACCAAAAAAACUGAACCAAACCGAUUUAA